rnacentral:rRNA from 1 species
UAUUUGUUCAAUUUUAUUUAAUUGCUUAUUUAAUUAAUUGUUAAAUUUUUAGAAAUAACUUUUAUUUACUAGUAUAUUUUUAUUGAAUCUAUUAUUCAUAUUUAUAGUUUAUUUUACUGUGAAGGUUAAUUAUUUAUGAUUUUGUAAGUAGAAUUUGUUUUUUGUACCUUUUGCAUCAGGGUGUAUCAAAUUAAUGCAUAUAUUUAUGGGUUUCCCGAAAUUAUAAGAGAUAUAUUUUUUUGUUAUUUAUUGUAAUAUUUAUAUUAAUAAAAUAUUUAUAGGGGAGAUAUUCUAUUCAAUUAUAAAUAUCUGGUUUUCUAAUAAAUGAAUUUAAUUCAGAAUUGAUAAUUAUUAUUACAUACAUUCAUUUGUUAUAAAUUGUUAUCAAUUUAAUCUUAUGGGGGAUUAGCUCUGUAAGAAUUUUAUAGUUGUUGUGUUAAUUUGUGUUACAAGAUUAUGUAGGGUUAGAAAUGCUUUUCAUUUAUUUUGUUAUAAUUAUUCUUGAUUAUGAUUUUUAAUUUAUUUUCAUCUUAAAUUUUUAUUAGAAUUUUUAAUUUAAUUUUUUAAUUAAAGGGAUAAUGAUAUAAUUAGUAAUUUUUAUAAUUUAUUCAUAGUAACUCGGCAAAUUUGAGCCUUACCUGUUUAACAAAAACAUGUCCUAUUGUUUAAUAUAUCUUAGGUCUGGCCUGCUCAAUGAUUUAUUUAAUUAAAUAGCCGCAGUAUUUUGACUGUGCAAAGGUAGCAUGAUCAUUUGUCUUUUAAUUGGAGGCUUGUAUGAAUGGUUUGAUAAGGGUUCAACUUUCUUUGUAUAAAUUAAUGAAUUUAAUUUUUGAGUUAAAAAGCUUAAAUAUAUUUAUGGGACGAGAAGACCCUAUAGAAAUUUAUUCUUAUUUAAUUAUUAAUUAUUAUUAUUUAAAUAGUUAUGUUAGUUAAUUGGGAAUUUUGUUGGGGCGACAUGAAGAUUUAAAUAACUCUUUAUUUUGAUUAUAUUAUUGAUUUGUAUGUAUAUUGAUCCUAUAUUAUGGAUUAAUAAGAUUAAUUUACCUUAGGGAUAACAGCGUAAUUUUUUCGGAGAGUUCUUAUUGAUGGAGAAGUUUGCGACCUCGAUGUUGGAUUAAAAUAAGUUUUAGGUGUAGCAGCUUAAUUACUGGGUCUGUUCGACCCUUAAUUUUUUACAUGAUCUGAGUUCAGACCGGCGUAAGCCAGGUCGGUUUCUAUCUAUAAUCAUAAAUUUAUUACAUUUUAGUACGAAAGGACCAAGUGUAGCAAUUAAUAUUGUUAAUUAUUGAUUAUUAUUAAAU